GACGAACGCUGGCGGCGUGCUUAACACAUGCAAGUCGAACGGAAAGGCCUGCUUUUCCUUGUGGAUUCCGGGUACUCGAGUGGCGAACGGGCGAGUAACAAGUGAGCGAUCUGCCCCCAAAUUGGGUAUAAGCCUGGGAAACUGGGUCUAAUAACCGAUAGGACUGCAGGGUGGUGCAGGUGGUGGAAGACGUUUUGUUAGUGGUUGGGGAUGCGCCCGCGGCGUAUCAGCUUGUUGGUGGGGUAAUGGCCGACCAAGGCGGCGACGGGUAGCCGGCCGGAGAGCGUGGACGGCGGCACUGGGACUGAGAUACGGCCCAUACGGCUACGAGAAGCAGCAGUGGGGAAGAAUGCGCCGUGGGCGUAAGGCUGAUGCAGCGAGGCAGUGUUGGAGAUGACGGGCUUCGAGUUGUGAGCUCCUUGCGACGACGAGGUAGCCACGUGGUUGGAAAGGUAGUGACGGUAGUGGUAGAAGAAGCACCGGCUAACUACGUG
rnacentral:rRNA from 1 species